ensembl:snoRNA snoRNA:Psi28S-3186 snoRNA:Psi28S-3186
GUCUGCCCAUUCGGUCUUUCAAUUAGUUGUUUCGAUAAACACUUGUUCAACUUGCAGCUGAGGGGCUAAAGUAAUCCUUCACUUGGUAUACUGACUCUUGGAUGAACUAACCACAUCUAAGGGCCACGAGCCCAAGGACAGGA